rnacentral:lncRNA from 1 species
AGUGCCCUCACUGUGGCUCAUCAGUUGGAGAGGAGGUGUGGCCAGCACGGCAGUGUCCCCAGAAGCCAGGUGGCCAAAAUGGAUUGCCAAGUCUGUGGGCCUUCUUCCACUGGGCUGGACUUUACCACUUUACUCUGUGUGUAUGUGUGUGUGCGUGCCUGUGUGUGAUAUGUAGACCAGGCUGGCCUUGAACUCCAGAGGUCUGUCUUUCUCUAUCUCCAGAGGACUGGGAUUAAAAGUUUGCACCUUAGGAACAGCUGGCAAUUAUUAGAAGGUUAGCCUAGCA